rnacentral:rRNA from 1 species
CAGUCGCCGCGGGAAUACGUAGGUGGCAAGCGUUGUCCGGAAUUAUUGGGCGUAAAGGGCUCGCAGGCGGUUUCUUAAGUCUGAUGUGAAAGCCCCCGGCUCAACCGGGGAGGGUCAUUGGAAACUGGGAAACUUGAGCGCAGAAGAGGAGAGUGGAAUUCCACGUGUAGCGGUGAAAUGCGUAGAGAUGUGGAGGAACACCAGUGGCGAAGGCGACUCUCUGGUCUGUAACUGACGCUGAGGAGCGAAAGCGUGGGGAGCGAACAGGAUUAGAUACCCCGGUAGUCCCUGUCUCUUAUAC